rnacentral:rRNA from 1 species
GAUGAACGCUGGCGGCGUGCCUAAUACAUGCAAGUCGAACGCUGGAGAUCUAGCUUGCUAGAUCGAAGGAGUGGCGAACGGGUGAGUAAUACAUAAGCAACCUACCCACGAAGACUGGGAUAAUCUCUGGAAACGGGGACUAAUACCGGAUAGGUAAUCGGAAGGCAUCUUCUGGUUAUUAAAGGUUAAAAACACUGGUGGAUGGGCUUAUGGCGCAUUAGUUAGUUGGUGAGGUAACGGCCCACCAAGACGAUGAUGCGUAGCCGGCCUGAGAGGGUGAACGGCCACAUUGGGACUGAGACACGGCCCAGACUCCUACGGGAGGCAGCAGUAGGGAAUUUUCGGCAAUGGGGGCAACCCUGACCGAGCAACGCCGCGUGAGUGAAGACGGCCUUCGGGUUGUAAAGCUCUGUUGUAAGGGAAGAACGGUAGAUAGAGAAUAUCUAAGUGACGGUACCUCACCAGAAAGCCACGGCUAACUACGUG